rnacentral:rRNA from 1 species
GUCGCUACUACCGAUUGGGAAAGUUUCAGAGUGUCUAGGACUGGCUAUUGUUCGGCUUCACGGCCUUACUUUAGCCGGAAAUAGACGCGAUGUAAUUUUUCUAGAGGAAGUAA